GGGGUAGGGAUCGAUUAAUACAUCAAGUUCAUGUAGUGCUCAAGAUUUUAAUCUUUUUUUGAGAUUGCGGCUUUUUAAGCUUGGUAUGAACUGGAUGCCACACCGAGUCGACUAUGAGGAUGGAGGGAUACUAUUAUCUUGAAUUCUUGAUCUCAUCUUGAUCAAGUCUAGGGUGGAAUUGUCGAACAGAGAUACACAGAUUGAAUAUUUUAUUGGAGGCGCUCCAAAUGAAGUUGGAGAGUGGCCAAGAGGAAGGAAUUGAUUGUAUGAUUUAUUUUCAUACAUAUUUCCGUAUGUUAGUCCCCUUUUCACCUCUCUGUAUGAUUGCAAUCAGUAUUAUCAUGAUGUAGUACAUUGUGAUAUCUCUGAUUUGUUUUGAAUUUUAUAGUGAGUUGUGAAUUAUAUAUGUGCAUUGAGAAAUAAAAUUUGAAGACCCGUGGCAACGCACGGGCAUUUGUACUA